GACAGAGAGGGAGAGAGAGACAGGGAGAGGGACAGAGAGAGAGAGGGAGGGACAGAGAGAGAGAGGGAGGGACAGAGAGGCAGAGAAAGAGAGGCAGAGAGAGAGAGAGAGAAGCAGAGAGUGGGAGAGACAGAGAGGCAGAGAGAGAGUCGGGGGAGAAACAGAGGGAGAGAGGAGAAAAGAGACAGAAAUAGAGAGAGACAGAGAGGGAACAAGAGGGCGGGGAGAGGAGAGAAAGAGACUGACUGAGGGAACAGAGGGAGUCAGGGAGAGAAAGAGGGAGAAAAGGAGAGAGAGGAAGAGACAGGUGGGGAGAGAGGGAGGUAGAAAAGAAGAGAGGGAGGAAGGGACAGAGAGCUUGGCUCAGGGAGGCCAACAAGACUGUUUUACCAGGAACACAGUGAUGAGAACAGAGCUCUGGUCUGGAGGGGCUGAUGCUCCCUGUGGAAGUCCAGCUCUGGUCUGGAGGGGCUGCGUGCUCUCUACAAGGAAGACGACGUGCUGUGCUAACAAAUGAUGGAGAGAAAUAAGCAUGAUUCUGUGCAGACAAGACGAAAAUAAGUUUAACAACAAAAGGAACAUCUUUUAGGGAAGCUUUCGAGCUGAUGCAGCCCCGUCGGGGUGGGGAGCAACUUCCCCCGAGGCACAGCCUGCUGGGGUCUGCCUGGCCCCUGAGUCCACGAAGUCCCUGGAUGACAGAGGCUUGGGUCGUGGAGCAUCUGCCCUGAUGUGGGGUGCACAAGGGGACCUGAAGGCACCAGCUGAAAUCAGAGAGACCACUCUGUGGACGUCCUUACCAAAGCUGCAGAAUAACUGGAAGCUCCCCCCAGGCUAAGCGGGGCCUCCCACAAAGUGCAGAAGAUGAUGGAGGAAGGGAUGGGGUACAGAAGCAGAAGUCAUGUCUGCCCGACGGUGCUGACGUAAGGUGGUCACUCUUGGGAUGUCCCGUGAUGGUUAAUAUUGAGUGUCAACUUGAUUGGAUUGAAGGAUACAAAGUAUUGUUCCUGUGUGUGUCUAUGAAGGUGUUGCCAAAAGAGAUUAACAUUUGAAUCAGUGGACUGGGAGAGGCAGAACCACCUGCAAUCUGGGUGGGCACCAUCUAAUCAGCUGCCAACGUGGCUAGAAUAAAGCAGGCAGAGGAACGUAGAAUAAGGACACUCUCUGGAUCUUCCGGCCUUCUUCUUUCUCCCGUGCUGGAUGCUUCCUGCCCUCAAACAUCAGACUCAAAAUUCUUCAGCUUUUGGACUCUUGGACCUACACCAGUGAUUUGCCAGGGGCUCUCAGGCCUUCAGACACAGAGUAAAGACUACACUGUCAGCUUCCCUACUUUUGAAGUUUUGGGACUCAGGCUGUCUUCGCUGCUCCUCAGUUUGCAGAAGGCCUAUUGUGGGACUUCACCUUGUGACUGUGUGAAUCAAUUCUCCUAAUAAACUCCCCUUCAUAUAUACAUCUAUCCUAUUAGUUCUGUCCCUCUAGAGAUCCCUGACCAAUACAUCCCCUUUAGUUAAAUGGAAUGGGACAACACGCCCAAGACCUACCCUGAACAUUCCCAGGACUCUGAGUUGCUUUAAAAUAUGCUUUUGUCAGGACACAGUGGUUCACGCUUGUAAUCCCAGCACUUUGGGAGGCCAAGGCUGGUGGAUCACCUGAGGUCGGGAGUUCAAGACCAUCCUGGCUAACAUGGUGAAACCCCGUCUCUACUAAAAAAAUACAAAAAAAUUAGCCAGGCGUGGUGGCAGGCACCUGUAGUCCCAGCUACUAGGGAGGCUGAGGCAGGAGAAUGGCGUGAACCCGGAAGGCGGAGCUUGCAGUGAGCCGAGUUCACGCCACUGCACUCCAGCCUGGGUGACAG
ensembl:lncRNA novel transcript